rnacentral:rRNA from 1 species
CAUACCUCUUUUUUAAGGGAUAGGGUCGGUUCGGCCGGAUUUUACACAGGUGUUGCAUGGCUGUCGUCAGCUCGUGUCGUGAGAUGUUGGGUUAAGUCCCGCAACGAGCGCAACCCUCAUCCUUAGUUGCCAUCAGGUAAUGCUGAGCACUUUAAGGAAACUGCCAGUGAUAAGCUGGAGGAAGAUGGGGAUGAUGUCAAGUCAUCAUGGCCUUUAUGAAGUGGGCUACACACGUGCUACAAUGGUGUCUACAGUGGGCUGCAAGGUGCGCAAGCCUAAGCUAAUCCCUAAAAGACAUCUCAGUUCGGAUUGUACUCUGCAACUCGAGUGCAUGAAGUUGGAAUCGCUAGUAAUCGUGGAUCAGCAUGCCACGGUGAAUACGUUCUCGGGUCUUGUACACCACUGCCCGUCACGCCAUGGGAAUUGGUUCCUCCCGAACCUA